rnacentral:misc_RNA from 1 species
UCGGCAGUCAAGAUCAAGUUCUCAGGUUUUAGGUCACGAUGAAUUAUUCCAUGUGAGUGUAGGCAUUCCAUUGCACGAGCAAUAUCCAGGGCAAAACCAAUUGCCACAUGCAUGUCCAAGCAUCUCGGUCGCAUGUUCAACAGGUAUUUACGCAAAGUCCCACCCAAAAGGAGCUCGGUUACUAUCACCAUGAUAGGUUCCUUGCAGGCACCAAUAAACUUCACUAGAUUUUUGUGUUGAACUCUUGAUAACAUUGCAACCUCUCUCGAAAACCG